rnacentral:rRNA from 1 species
CCAGUGAACUAUUAAACGGCCGCGGUAUCCUAACCGUGCAAAGGUAGCGCAAUCAUUUGUCUAUUAAUUGUAGACCUGUAUGAAAGGCAAAAUGAAAAUCUGACUGUCUCUUAUAAUUUAUCAAUUAAACUGAUCUUCUAGUUCAAAAGCUAGAAUAAUAACAUAAGACCAGAAGACCCUGUGAAGCUUUAACUAAACCAUUAAACCAAUUAAUGACUACUUUCGGUUGGGGCGACCUUGGAAUAAAACAAAACUUCCAAAACGUGCAAGAACGCACUACUUCGGGCUGACAGGCCAAUAUGACCCAGUAAAUCUGAUAAAUGAACCAAGUUACUCCAGGGAUAACAGCGCAAUCCUCUUCAAGAGCCCAUAUCAAAAAGAGGGUUUACGACCUCGAUGUUGGAUCAGGACAUCCUGGUGGUGCAGCCGCUACCAAGGGUUCGUUUGUUCAACGAUUAACAGUCCUACGUGAUCUGA